rnacentral:lncRNA from 1 species
GGAAGGAGCGCUGACAUUGAAGUCACACUGACAAGGAGACAUUGUUCCCUUUGAUUUCACUGUGAACUCCGUGCCAUGUUCUCAUAGGACACUUGUACAAAACAGUCCCUACAACAUUGAAAACCCGACCUUUGAUUUAUAGAAGUCUGUAAUGUGUCUGUCAUAUGCUGUUUAUGACUCGGUCACUCAUUCUCUCUUCCUAUCUCACAAUCAGAGAAGUGACCCAGGAGAGUCAGCUCCUCUCUCUCUCUCUCUCUCUCUCUCUCUCUCUCUCUCUCUCUCUCUCUGUCUCUGUCUCUGUCUCUGUCUGUCUGUCUGUCUAUCGGUGCCUGUAUGCUGUAGAGCCAUAUCUGUAUCUGACUGGUGACUGAUGCUUCCUUCUUCCCACCCUGUAACAAGGCAGUGCAGGCAGACAGAAGCCUCCUGUGGAGUACCCUGUCCACGCUGCAUGCAACAGUAUUAGCUGAAUAUGUGCUGGGAGGUUUGUUUGUUUGGUUAGUUUUUAUCAUGGUGAUAUGUAAGAUAAUUAAAGGGAAGAGUUAAAGGCUUUGUUGCGUCUGCUAUAACUCAUCAGAAAUGCUCAAAUUUCAUCGUAGCGUCUCCAAGAAGGUAGAGAGCUUGGAAAACAUUAGUUAUAGUCACCUUUCUGAUGAGCCCUGCACUUUAUGUCAGCAAUGUCUGUGGAGAUCAGUUUUGCCUUAAAUUAGUUUGAGUCCACCCAAGGCCAUUGUGCUUAGUAUCAUGAGCACUUGUCAGCUCUCCAUUAGCAUGCAGUUCAUAACAGAGCUUCAAGCAGCAGCAGCACCCAGAGCUUUGAACCUCGCCCACUGUGCUCUGGGUGACUUGUAACAUUAAUAGGAAUAUCUUCUCAGUUCCCUGAUAGCAGCGGCAUGGCCAGAGCACUGCUGUGAGACAGUUCCCUGGCUGGAGUAUUCACCCAGUGUUAACUUUCUGAACAGUUGGGGGGUUCUUAUCCUUUUUUUUUUUUUUUAAUGGUGACUACAAAAGAUUAGAACAAAGGUUCUUUGGUUCAGUGACAAUACUCAGAUUAUUUCUAAGAAUUUUAGCGAUGACCUUUGUGUAUUGAAAAGCUUAUUUACCAUUAACAAAUACAGGAGAAACCUCUCCCCCUCCCCCAAAUGGAUGUAUUACUUGGAAUCGUGAUCUGAAAAGUGCUCUAGUUUAUUUCUUUUAACAGAAUUAAGCAGUUAAAUGUGGCUAUGGUUGAAAAGAUAGAAGAACAGCUUUUCUAGGCUGCACACAGAAGAGUACAGUUAUGCAGGUAACCACACUGAUUUACAUACGUGUUUGCCACUAAAAUCCAUUUUCUGCCCUUAUAAAUUCGAACACUGCUACUAAUAUGGUCAUAUAGGUUUCAUAUGCCUCUGUGUAUUACAAGU